GUCCCUGUGGCGCAAUAGAAAGCGCGUUGGACUUCUAAUCCAAAGGUCGUGGUUUCGAAUACCACCUGGGAUG
rnacentral:tRNA from 1 species